ensembl:lncRNA
UGUGUAUAUAGGGUCGUGUGCCCUAUAGGAUGUGUAUAUAGAGGAUGGGGACCCUAUAGGGUGUGUAUAUAGGGCUGUGAGCCCUAUGGGGUGUGUGUGUGCCCUAUACGGUGUGUAUAUAGGGGAUUUCAGCCCUAUAGGGUGUGUGUAUAGGGCUGUGCUGCCUAUAGGGUGUGUAUAUAGGGGAUGGUGGCCCUAUAGGCUGUGUGUGUGCCCUAUAGGGUGUAUAUAUAAGGCUGUGAGCCCUAAGGGGUGUGUGUAUAGGGGUUAUGUGCCUUAUAGGGUGUGUAUAUAGGGCUGUGAGCCCUAUAGGGUGUGUGUAUAGGGCUGUUUGCACAGGCUGUGCCAACGCCAUCCAUUAUGGAUGUGCCUAUAGGGGCCGUGUGCUUAUAGGGCCGCGGGCGCUAUAGGGCCCCGCGUGGGAGGGCCGCCAUGCAUUAUAGAUGUGCCCUAUAGGGCCGUGCAUUAUGGAUGGGGUCCUCUCCUGUGGG